rnacentral:misc_RNA from 1 species
GAUGAAGAACGCAGCGAAAUGCGAUAAGUAUUGUGAAUUGCAGAAUCCAGUGAAUCAUCGAAUCUUUGAACGCACAUUGCGCCCGUCAGUAUUCUGGCGGGCAUGCCUGUUCGAGCGUCAUUACGCCCCUCAAGUCCCCUGUGGACUUGGUGUUGGGGAUCGGCGAGGCUGGUUUUCCAGCACAGCCGUCCCUUAAAUUAAUUGGCGGUCUCGCCGUGGCCCUCCUCUGCGCAGUAGUAAAACACUCGCAACAGGAGCCCGGCGCGGUCCACUGCCGUAAAACCCCCCAACUUUUUAUAGUUGACCUCGAAUCAGGUAGGACUACCCGCUGAACUUAAGCAUAUCAAUAAGCGGAGGA